UCCAUCUAUUCCUCCUCCCCAAAUCCACCGAAAGGACAAAAAAAAAAAGAAAAAGAAAAAGGGGAUCAAAUCCUACCUAAAGUGAGCCUAUUUCUUGCCUAUAAAGGAACCCUUCCCCUCUUCCUUGGCUUCAAUCGUGAGAGCCCUUCCAUAGGAGGAUUGACUGCCAAGCAUUCCGUGAGAGGAGAUCGGAGUAUUCGCUGCCAAUCUCGCCGGAGGAACUCGCCGGAGGCAAGGGAAAAAAAUCUGUUGGACGAGAGGACGCUAAGCGGGAUCCUGCGCAUCCCGGUUCAUAGAUCGCCAUGAGGGCGGGUGAUUAGUUUGUCUGAGUUUUCAAUAAAAAAGUUGCAGGAUGCAUAGUUUUGGAUGGGAAGGGCG